CAGCAGUGGGGAAUAUUGGGCAAUGGGCGCAAGCCUGACCCAGCAACGCCGCGUGAGGGAAGAAGGUUUUCGGAUUGUAAACCUCUGUCCUUGGGGACGAAAAAAAUGACGGUACCCAAGGAGGAAGCUCCGGCUAACUACGUG
rnacentral:rRNA from 1 species